AAUCAACGCUGGCGGCGUGCCUAACACAUGCAAGUCGAACGCGAAAGGGACUUCGGUCCUUAGUAGAGUGGCGAACGGGUGAGUAACACGUGGGUGACCUACCUUCGAAUGGGGGAUAACGUCCCGAAAGGGACGCUGAUACCGCAUAACAUCCUGUCCUUGAACGGAUGGUGAUCAAAGCCGGGGAUCGCAAGACCUGGCGUUUGAAGAGGGGCCCGCGUCCGAUUAGCUAGUUGGUGAGGUAACGGCGUCACCAAGGCGACGAUCGGUAACCGGCCUGAGAGGGCGGACGGUCACACUGGGACUGAGACACGGGCCCAGACUCCUACGGGAGGCAGCAGUGGGGAAUUGUUCACAAUGGGCGCAAGCCUGAUGACGCAACGCCGCGUGGAGGAUG
rnacentral:rRNA from 1 species